rnacentral:rRNA from 1 species
UACGAAGGGGGGCGAGCGUUGUUCGGAAUUACUGGGCGUAAAGGGCGCGUAGGCGGCCGUGGAAGUCAGGCGUGAAAGCCCCCGGGCUCAACCUGGGAAUUGCGCUUGAUACUCCGGGGCUUGAGUUCGGGAGAGGAGAGUGGAAUUCCCAGUGUAGAGGUGAAAUUCGUAGAUAUUGGGAAGAACACCGGUGGCGAAGGCGGCUCUCUGGACCGAGACUGACGCUGAGGCGCGAAAGCGUGGGGAGCAAACAGG